GGCUAUUAUCAACUCUGUAUGUUAGCUGCUUCACUUGCACUUUAGCCACUAUAACAUGAAAUGCACUAGAACUCUUUUCCCCCUUUUUGCUGUGUAAAUGAAACAGCGCGCGGUCCAGAAAUCCUUAAAAUCAACACAACUGCAUUGGAAAAUAAAAGACAGCGCAUGCGCAGCUACCGUUGGAGCCCGCACAUUUUCACAUUCUCCUGCUACUAAACAGGCUCCAUUAUGAAAACAAAGCCCUGAAAAGGUUAACAAACGCAACGUAAAGGCUGCAGGAGCUCAGAGUGGAUGUCUGCGGCAUCGUUGGAG
ensembl:lncRNA